UGCCGUAUCCCUUUCUAAACCUCUGCAAAAAUGGCGAUUCAAUGAAUCUCGAGAGAAAAACAUAGAUUUCGAGUGGUUUUUCAUCGCAAACAUAUUCUGUUGAUUAGUUAUGGUUUAUAUGGUUUUUAUCCAUAAAUAGUGGUAUUUUGUGAAGAUUUUCAAGCACAGAAGAUACCUGGUUUGCAAAUACGGUGGUUUUCUUGAAAGAUAUUGUCACUAUGUACGCGAACAUCAUGAGAAAAUAUGUGAAGAACCCAGUAAGAAGUUUUAGUUGGAGUUGUGAGAGAUUCAUAUGGUGCUAUUGAGUCUGUUGAAUUCAGGGACAAAGAUGGUUGUUGUGUGGAGUUUGAUACAGAAACUGAGAUGUGGUGUUGUGUAGGUGCAAUUGCAGGAGAUGGAGUUGAAGUGUGGAUUGAUGUGAUGAAUGGAAGAUGAAUGGGUCUAUGAAAGAAGAGGAGAUGUGCUCUGAACUAGAAUGAUGCACUCGAGAUUUUCAUGGGUUAAGCUGCUAUUGCUUUGAAUUGAAAUGCAAAGCGGUGGCAGAGAACUGAAAUUUUGAAGCUGAAUGGAUUGUGCAGGUUUAGAUGGCUCAGGUGGUGAAGCUUAAGGCUAGGAGCAAGUGACAAUGGGUUUGUUGAACUGAAGGAAAUGAAUUCAGAGAGAAUAAGAUGUACCAAAUGGUUGGAGAUGGUGGUUCUAGCUGCCGGUGAUGCUGUUGCAGGUCUAAGGGGAAUGAAAUGGAAGUAUCUGGUGCUCAUAACUAGAGUUGUUGCUGCUGUUAGUGCUAGUUCUGGAUGAAUUAGAAGCCGAGAAACAAGCCAUGAAACUGAGUUGUUGCCGAACCUAGAUGAAUGUUAGGAUAGGUACAAAUUACAGGAGCUUAAUGGGUUUGUGUUGCAGUUGAAGAUUGGUAUUGGUGGAUUUGAAUUGCAUUGCAGGAUGGUUGAUUUCUGGUGGUGAUGAAGCUGUAGAGUAGUUUGUGCUUCUAGCUGAGCUGGGUUUCAGCUGGAGUGUUCAAAUUGAAUUAAGAUGCAGGUCAUGGGUUUGAUGAUGGCUUUGAGCUAAUGGAUACUGGUGGUGUUUGGAGUAUAAUGGAACUGAGCUGGAAUGCAUUGGCUGAACUGUAGUUGGUAUGAAUGCUGUGCAGGGGAAGUUUGUGUAGCUGUUGAGUCUGGUGGUGCAGUUUAAAGCCGAGAUGUGUGACGAUAUCCAAGAAAUGAUGAUGCAGCUGUGAAGAGGAAACAUAUGGGAAUGUGAUGUUGGCAGUGCCGGACACGUCAUCGAUCAACCGGACACGUCAUCGAUCAACCGGACACGUCAUCGACAUGUUAACCCCAGUUGAAGAUGUUGAGUUAGGAUAGAGGGCAUUUUGGAGACAUUUAACACCGUUUUUUUGAAAAACUGUUAUGUCUCCCAAACUAUGACUGUUUUGUAGAUGAUUAACAAAAGUACGAUGAAUUUGUGACUGAAUUAGAAAAAGUAUGACCAUUUUGUAAAUGGCCCAUUAAAAAGA